UGCUACAAUACAUUAGAAACAGCUAUAUAUACAUGUGUGUGUAUAUAUAUCUGCUUAACAUUACAGGAGAAUUAUAUAAGCAUCCCUCCUUCCCAUUUAUCAAAUUUUCCCAGUUCUCAUGAGUUUAUUUUCAUCACAUCUUCUUUCAACUUCCAACAAAAUAAUAUUAUAACUACAUAAUUAUUGCAAGCUGGAAAUAGGGUUUGAGACUUUUUUUUUAUUUAAAAAAAGAUUGUAUGAUAUAUUCUGCAAAUUCUCAUUAUAUAUGUGGAAUAGAUUCUAUAUUUUCAACUCUAGUGGUUAGGGCUUUCCUCUUCAACCCACUUCUGAAUUUAGAUCUCCUAUUUUCUUAUUGUAAAAUAUCGCUCGUAUUACUUUUCCCUUUUUACCCGACUAUUUGGGACUUCAAAACAAAAAAAUACCAUGACCUCCUAUAUAUUAAAAGAGUUUGCAGGAAUUAUCAAUGACUAUAAGGAAACCAAGAAACAGUAUAGAUAGGAGUCGAACCAUAUAUCAAUGUAAUUAGCUACAGCUGCCUACCGCUACUCCUCACCAUCCAACAUUUAAGUCGUCAUCAGCCAUGUACCUAAACCCAUCUGAUCUCAAACUGUGAUGAAAGCCAACCCUUUUGAUCUAGAGCGAGUUGCAUAAUACGAGUUACCUCUUGCGUGGAGUUAUAGUGUAAUAAUAUAAUGUCAUGAAGAAAAAUUUAUACAUAUGUUGAUUGGAACGCCACAAUGGCGAGAAACAUGUUAUGUUGAAAAAUGUUAACAUUUUAGGUUUAUUAGUAAUUUUGGUAGUUUAAGUAUUAGAUUAUCUUAGAUUUAGGUCUUUAUGAACAAACUAACCUUAAAAUUUAGUAAGAAAAAUAAGUCAUCAUGAUAUAAUUAUUUGGUUUGUAAGCUUCGUAACUAUCUUUAAUUCUUUUUAGUUUAUUUCAUUAUUUUGUUAGAUUGUUAUGACUUUAUGCAUACUCUGCUUUUCAACUUAUUCUAAAUAAGUUCUUCUCGUUUUGAUAUGAUUAUGAUGCAUAUGCAUGUGCUUUCUGCAUUGCAUUCUAACCAUAUCCAGAUUAAACAUAUAAAAGGGAUGUGAUAUCCACACACCCAUUUUUACUUCUUUCACACUCUUUCAAUUUUCGGUCGUCAGAUCGGAUGAAUUAAAGAAGAUCAAAUGACAGAAAUUAACAAGGGAUGUGAGAGAAGUAAAAAGGGAUGUGUGGAUAGCACACCCCAAUAUAAAAAACUAUGCAAAGUACGAACACUCUGUUUUUUUGUAAUUUUGGUUCUUUUCUGUCCUUCCCUUGCUUUAAUAUGCACCGGUCAUAACCUCUUUACCGAACCCUACCAAAUAAUGCACGAACAUAUCACAUAAUUCGAGUAAUAUUUACUCACUAAAAUAUGUCUAAAUUAUUUAAUACGUACGUAUUGGUUCUCAAGCAAAUGUCUUGAGAAAGUAAAUGAGUUAGAGAGAAGGUUGGAGAAGAUAUUAUGGUGGUAGAGCUAGUGACAGUUAUGACUUAAUAACAACUAACGGUUGACAAUUAACUAGACAUUUGAACCUUUGAUGCUUGACAAUUAACCCAUGAAUAUCCUAAUAAAGGAAAGAGAAAAGUGGAGUGAAGAAGAAUGUCUUAAUAACCAGAGCAAUAUACCACUUGCCACUUCCGCGCUGAGUUAACAUGCAAAAUUAAUUUGGUGGGUUUGCUAUCAUUGAAUUUAUUCUAAGUGUAGAUAAGAAGCGAGGAUUCAAACAAGGAAGAUUUUAUUUGGACCCAACUUUUUUCUUUCUAACCCAACUUAUAAAUUUUACUUUAAAUUCUGUUUUAUCCCACGUAUAAAAUGGGUUUAGAAAAAAAAAAAUUAAGAAAACGAAAAAGAAACACAACCAAAGUCACCUCCCACAUCCACUCCUACCUCUUCAAACCCAAAGACACCUAAUAUCCUUCACCCCUUCCCCAACCACACCCAGCCACACCACCUGCACUUCCCCUACCACCCGCAAUAAAAGAACAUGCUUAGAGUAAAAUCUGCGACAACCUUAGAAGAAAGUGUUGAGGAUUAAUGAUUGUUGCAGUCUUGCAGAGAUGAAGAACUGAUUGCAGAUUCAAUUGGUUUGCAGUGUGUUAAGGUUUGUUCUUUGUUCAUCUUUUGUAUGCGAAUGCAUAAUGUGUCAAAUUGUCAGAGAGAGACAAGCCAAAGAUCCACUUUCAACAACAUCGAUUUGUCCCCAACUUGUUAAAUUAUUACUUGCACAGUCCGACACGUGUGUGGUUUUAUCACAAAAAACCUUGGUAUUUGUUGGAUUGGGGUUAUGAUAAUUUAAACUCUUAUUUCUUCUUUCUUUGGCCGAUGUGAGAUAUUCAACAUGCCCCAUCGCGUGGGACCCAAUUAAUGGGUCAUAUGUAGAAGAUCCACACAUUGGCAAACCCGUGGGGUCAAGAGGACUCACCCAA
rnacentral:lncRNA from 1 species